UACAGGGGGUGCAAACGUUGCUCGGAAUCAUUGGGCGUAAAGCGCGCGUAGGCGGCCCGGUAAGUCCGCUGUGAAAGUCAAAGGCUCAACCUUUGAAUGUCAGCGGAUACUGCCGGGCUAGAGUCCGGAAGAGGCGAGUGGAACUCCUGGUGUAGCGGUGGAAUGCGCAGAUAUCAGGAAGAACACCAACGGCGAAGGCAGCUCGCUGGGACGGAACUGACGCUGAGGCGCGAAAGCGUGGGGAGCGAACAGG
rnacentral:rRNA from 1 species